UACGGAGGGGGCGAGCGUUAUUCGGAAUUAUUGGGCGUAAAGGGCGCGUAGGCGGCUGUACAAGUCAAAGGUGAAAUCCCUCGGCUCAACUGAGGAACUGCCUUUGAAACUGUACGGCUUGAGGCCGGGAGGGGUAGCGGAAUUCCCAGUGUAGCGGUGAAAUGCGUAGAUACUGGGAGGAACACCAGUGGCGAAGGCGGCGAUCUGGGUCGAUACUGACGCUGAGGUGCGAAAGCGUGGGGAGCAAACAGG
rnacentral:rRNA from 1 species